rnacentral:tRNA from 1 species
GCCCGGGUAGCUCAGUCGGCAGAGCGAUUCACUCGUAAUGAAUAGGUCAGGAGUUCGAUUCUCCUCUCGGGCU